ACGCGCGGCCCCGCGGCGCGCCGGGUUGAGAGAACAUCUGUCUGAGCGGAUGAGGCACCGCCACCGCCUCAGCGCUACGCCCUCGGGACGCCAGGGCUCCAAGAGUGCAACUGCAAUGUGGAUCUUCCUGGGAUGGGAUAGGAAGAGAGACUGGAGGAGAUGACACUGACCCGCGUCUUGAAGGGGCAGAUCUACAAAGUUGGAAAGAAGAGGAAACACCAAAAAUAACUUUCCCCAAGUAGAGAGAACCAAACACAUAUGGGAAGAUGGAAAUAGUUUUAGAUGGCCCAAAUAACACCGUGAUGUGAAAAGAACUCCCCAAAGCAGAGGGAAGGAUUAGAAAAAGCCACAGAAAUUGACUCAAGAUGUUACGGGAAUGACUGGCUGUGACAGUUGGGGCAUGCAGCAGACCCUGAAGUGGGGGGCUGAGGCCUUGCAGCUUUUUGUAUAGAAGUUGAGGGGAUGGCUCUGAAAACAUUCAUAUCUGAUCUUUUUCGUGGAGAUUGCAUUUUUUUCUUGGAAAGUCAGAAAUUCUGGCUCUCUUCUAGAAAUUCUAGGGAGGGGAAAGGAGCAGAAUCAUACAUUACAUGAAACCCAGAGACAAAUGACUCAGCCAUUUCUGCUCCCCUGGCAGGAGUUUUGUUUUUUCUCUGGCAUGUGGGGACGAGCCACCUGUGGGCUGAGGCUGCGGCGAGGCCACAGGGGCCGUUGAGAUUAGGCUGAGAGCCUCAGCUCUCUGGGCCCCGGGCCCCAGGCCAACUGACCAGCUGGCCGCCCUGCCUGGGACUUUUGGGCAGCUAUCAGCCAGCUGGACAGGUGCUUGGUGCCAGGGCUGCCUUCCUUUGCAGGAGAGUCAAUGCUGAUGGCCAGAAGGAACACAGCCCCACCAAGACAGGAACUGAUCUGACCUGGAGAGCUGCUCUUCCACACCGCACCAGCUUUCCUUUUGUUACUGACAAGCUUCUGUGUCCUCUUAUGAUCGCAUAUAUUCAAGUUUCUCACCCCUCUUUCCUAUGCUCAGAGCAGUUGUGGAUUGAGUGUGCCCUGUGGGAGCAGUGGUGGCUACCACACUGAGCUGCGCUGACCUGGUCAGUCCCCAGUGUUCUGAGCCGUGGUGUGCUCCACUACCGGACACCUCUCCAGGGCCCAUAUGGCUGGCUGGCCUGUGUAUGUCCCCCACAACAGGCAUUCUCAGAUCCCACCUUGGGAAACACUAACUCAGAAUCAACAAUUGAAAUGGAACAACAAAUUGAAGCAGCUACAGUUUCACCACUUAAACGAGUGAAUGGACAGACCUUUGUUGAGUAUCCGCCACAAGUGAGAAGCUGUGUGUACAAAAGCAGCACAGUAGAGGAUGCUGUCCUCAUGGAGGGGUCACUUCCAAAGGUCUGCUCGGCCCUGUCCCCUCACUCAGGCCAUGUGUACAUGUGCUGCUGCUGACUCUGCCAGGGCAGGUGGUGGACAUCUGGCCACAGGGCUUCCUACAGCAUUCCCAGCCUGGACAGCUGGGAGACUCCUUUCAGAAGAACCUUGGGGGAACUAAGACUAUACCUUUUAUUUAAUCUUGGCACUUUCUGUUUCAUAAUAAAAACAUAUGUUUAACAGCAAUGUAUACUGUUAAUCUUGUGAUUAGUUUCUUAACCCUCAACCAUGUUUUGUACUUUAUUUUGUUACAUUAUAUACUUGUAAUGUAUACUUUGAAAUCUUUUGUUUUAAUGUCUUUUUAAAAAAUUUGGAAUGUUCUAAACUUGAAAGGCAAUUGAAUAUAGUAUGUUGAAAA